GGGAAUGUGGUGAAAUUGGUAGACACGACGGACUUAAAAUCCGUUGCGGUAAAACGCGUGGGGGUUCAAGUCCCCCCGUUCCCA
rnacentral:tRNA from 1 species